rnacentral:lncRNA from 1 species
CUUUAGCUCUGGCUCCAUCACACCUGCUGUGGAGAUGUCCCUCCCUGAAGCCCAGGAACCUUCUGGAUGCCUGGGCUCUAGGAACAUUUGGAGCUUGGAUGGAGUUUGCCUCCUACCUUGGGGAGCAGCGUGUGAUAAUGGAGAAAGGGAAGAGAGAGUUGAAUCAGGGUCAUGAGAGGGAGGAGGGAGUUGAAUCAGCCGUCAUGGAAGGAGGAAAAUAUGACUCCUUCAGAGGCAAAGGCUCAGAUUGAGCCCCAUGGGAAGACAAGUCUGGCAUGUAAUUCCUUGGAAUGUGACAUCCUCAGUGGACUAUUGGUGAAUUAUGCUGGAGCCAGUCCCCAUGUAUAAGAAGUCAACCUGCAAUGACAUAAGUAGUUAAUGGAUAGUGUGAUUGUAGUUAUAAUUAUCAUUAAUUAAUUACCUUGGUUUGGUGUAGUGUCCUGGCUCCCUGGUUCUCCACUAUACAGCCCCUGCUCUCUCUUGGCCCACCCAGGAGAGGAAAGUCUGAUACCAUGUGCAGCUAUCCAGGACAUCAGUGCCCAGUCCCAAGCCCUGCUCCUCCCCAGCAAGGGGCUUUGUCUGCUCUAGGACAGCUCUGGCUGGAACUCAGUGUUGUCUUCCACCUUGGAUCAGCUCCAGAGUGCUUCCUGGCCCUCUCUCUACCCUUCUCUCUGGAGGCCAGGUUGAGCCUUCCAGGCUCCCCACAGGGUCUCAAGCCCAGACCCCUACUCUUUCUGGUGCUGGGUACUAGAAGUGUGUCCAGAACAAUCAGGAUGGAGCAGGGGCAGAGAAAGAAGGCUCCAAGGGGCCAGGGCAGGGGCUCAGGAACCUCACCCUUCAGCCUUUGCUGUCAGAGACUAGGAGCUAUACCAGAAAUUCAGCCCUAGACUCUGUUAGAGAAUGGAGAAAUGUGAACCUGAAUCUAAAAAUGAAAGCCCAGAAGAAAGCCUAACUGCUCAUGGGAAUGGAACAGCCUGCGAAGCACUGUCUUCCCUGUGAAGAAAUAGGAUCACAAGACUGUUGUAUUAUUUUUUACAUUAACAAUUAUAGAAUUAAAAUAAACUUUCUGUUCUGUUAUUUGAAG